UGUCCCUCAAAAGGGUCAUAAUAUUGAAUGCAAUGAAACGUGUCACCCAACUAUCAAUUACACAUUUACACAACUAACCCGCUGAAAUUAAAAUUUCACCAAAAUUUUUAAUCUAAUAUCCUGGGAAACUGUACCCCAUGUUCGUCCUCACUGCACUAUCAGCUCCCAUAACGGUUUUGUUAAGCAGUUGCCAAUAACACCUUAUUCGCCGCUCAGAUUUGUUGCCUAAAAACUUUGAAUCUUCACAAAAAAAUCCCUAAUUUCUUGAUUUCAGUUAGCAUAUAAUCAUCUCAGCCCACUUCUUACUUUAACUCUUCAAUUUUUUUUUCAAUAUAUUUGAAGCGUAUAGUAUGAUGUGAAUUGCAGAUUGCUUUAAUACUCUUCAUAAUUUGCCAAAAAAGUUCUCUUAAUUUAGUUUUGCGGUUAAUUUGUAUUGUGAGUUUUGAUUCAUCGUUUCUAUUGUUUGUUGGAGAAAAUUUAUCAAGAUUCAGCUCAAAGAUCUCGUCAUCUGAGGAGAAGCUGUGGUAUUUGAAGUGCAAAGAAGUGGAAAAUCAGAAGCUAAAAGGCGGAGAAACGGCUUCAAGAAUUGGAGGUAAUGUACAUAAGCACUGCCUAAAUAUAAUAUUGUUCUGGAUGAAAAUUUCGGUUGUGUAAAUUCAAGAUUAAGUUUCUAGAUUUCUUUCAAUCACACAUAUGUCUUUACUGUUUAGCACAUCUUUCAUGUCAAUUGAGAUUAGGUUGAGGUAUUUUCUCUAUAUCAUACAUGUGUGCAGUAUAGGAUUAGAAAGAUAUGUAAUUGUGAAGUCUGAUGUCGGCUAGAGUUAUGAUGAAAACGAGCCAUGUCUCAAUUGACAUGAAACCUGGCUCAAUAUAUACUCUCCUGACUGAAUCUAGGUUCAUAUAUCCUCUCCUCAUGGUCUCUAUUAAAGAGGUAUGGCUGCUAGAUUUGGUAUUUAAAGUUGAUGAUAUGGAACACAUGUUGCUAAUAUAUGUAUCAAUAUAUGUAUGUUUGUUUUUGUUCGCAAAUGUAUGCAAUUGAGAGGCUUAACAAUCUGAGAGGGAGAUGCAUGGCUUCAAUGGAUUCUUGGUCUUAAGGUCAUCUAAGAGAAGCUGUGGUAUUUGAAGUGCAAAGAAGUGGAAAAUCAGAAGCUAAAAAGGCAGAGAAACGGCUUCAAGAAUUGGAGCAUUCAUCCUUUUGGAUUCUUUUGGUCACUGCAUGCUUAGUUUAGAAGACUCUUGAAGACAUCUAUACCAAGAUAUGGAAACAAGUUGGAUAGAACUUCCACGAUGCCACACUCAAUAUGUCUAAGGUUGUAUGCAAUUCAUUAACUUUGCUAAGGUAGCUCAGGUAGAAGGAAAGAUUCGGUGUCCAUGUACGACAUGUAAAGUGGAUAAAUGGCUUUGUGUAAAUGAUGUAGAAAGACAUAUCUUGUUUAACGGGUUUUAUAAAUCAUACAAGAAAUGGAUUUUUCAUGGUCAAGGGGAUUUGCUUCAGCAUAUGAUUGGGUGUGAUGGAGGUAGUACUAGCCAAGGAUCCCCACUAGAUCAAACAAGGUUUGAAGGUCGAGAUGAUAUGGGAGGCCUAUUGAGAUCUGCUUUUAGUUUUGAAAAACCCUCAAAUGACCUAACCUUUGAACCACAUGAAAAUAAUGAAAAUGACGAGUAUCUUGAAGACCCUGUCUUUUAUGAAGAGGAGAUUGAUUUAGAAUUUUCAACAACGCAAGAUGAAGCUAAGUAUAAGAAAUUACUUGAUGUUUCCGAUGAGAAAUUGUAUGACGGGUGUACUAAAUUUUCCAAACUGUCUUUUCUUUUACACCUUUUUCACAUAAAAUGUAUGAGCCAUUGGUGUGCUGAAUCCUUUAAUAUGCUACUCGAGCUUCUCAUAGACGCAUUUCCCCAAAUACUUGAGUUUCCCUCAUCUUAUUAUCAAAGUAAGAGAAUAAUAAAAGACCUUGGCAUUGGGUAUGAGAAGAUUGAUGCUUGUCCAAAUAACUGUAUGUUGUAUUGGGGUGAUUAUUCAAAGAAAGACAAGUGUCAUGUUUGUGGUACAUCAAGAUGGAAGAAAAAUAAGGGUAGAAAUGAUAAUGUCAGAGAUCAAAAUAAGACUGUUUCUACGAGUGGUGAGCCAGCUAAGGUAAUGCGUUACUUUCCUCUUAUCCCUAGACUGAAGAGAAUUUACAUGUCCUCAAAAACAGCAGAAGAUAUGAGAUGGCAUUAUACUCAUAAUGAUAAAUUGAAUGAUAAUGAUAAGAAGAUGUUAAGGCACCCUUCAGAUGCAUUAGAUUGGAAAUCAUUUGAUCAACGUUAUGAGGAUUUUGCCUCGGAUCCUCGUAGUGUUCGAUUAGGACUUGCAAGUGAUGGGUUUAAUCCAUAUCGUUUGAUGAACACGACUUAUAGUACAUGGCCUUUGGUGUUGAUUCCCUAUAAUCUUCCACCGUGGUUAUGUAUGAAACCAUCUUCAUUCAUGUUGUCUAUUAUCAUUCCCGGUAAAACAAGUCCCGGAAUUGACAUCGAUGUGUAUUUGCAGCCACUAGUUCAUGAAUUGAAAUUGUUAUGGAGUGGGGUUGAUGCUUUUGAUGCUUAUGAUGGAGAGAAAUUUAAAUUGCGAGCCGCUUUGCUUUGGACUAUUAAUGACUUUCCUGGUUAUGCAAUGCUCUUCGGUCUGAGCACCAAAGGCUAUAUGGCAUGCCCUAUAUGCAUUGAUUCAACUCCUUCUGAAAAAUUUGGGAGUAAGACUUGUUAUUGUGGGUAUCGAAAAUGGCUUCCAUCAUGUCAUCCAUAUCGAUUUGAUUGUGACAGUUUUAACGGAAGAGAAGAGCAUGGUGAAGCUCCACCUCGGCCUAGUGGGACUGACAUAUUGGGGCUACAAGAAAAGGUUGGGUAUGUUUAUGGGAAGGCAUCAAAAAGAAAGAGAGGUAACGAGGGUAACAAUGAAAAAGAUGUUGUCAUUGGUAACAAGAGAAGCAUAUUUUAUAAUUUAGAAUUGGGAGCAUAAUUUGUUGAGGCAUAAUCUAGAUGUAAUGCACAUAGAAAAAAAUGUGUGUGACAAUAUUUUAAAUACUCUCUUAAAUACCGAUAAAAGCAGAGAUAAGAAGGAUGAUCGAGAUGCCCUUCAAGGAUGGGGCAUAAAGCCACAUCUUUGGGUUCAAGAUAAUCAUAUGCCUUGAACUUCUUAUUCUAUGUCUGUAGAGGAGAAAAGAGGUUCUUAAAAGUUUUACAAAAUCUCAGAGUCCCUGAUGGCUAUGGAUCUAACCUUUCUAGAUGCGUGAACAUGAAGCAAAGAAGGUUGAUUAACCUUAAGAGCCAUGACAACCAUGUUUUGAUGCAAGAUAUCCUUCCCGUCGCAUUAAGAGCUUCUAAUGCAACAAAAGUAAUUGAUUUGCUUGCAAAAUUGUCUUACUUUUUCAAGCAAUUAUGCUCCACUGCUAUUGAUCCUGAUGAUCCAGAUGCUCUUUAAGAAGGAAUUGUAUUAACCCUUUGUGAGUUGGAAAUGGAGUUUUUGCCUUCGUUUUUCACAAUCAUGGUUCAUUUGCUAAUUCACUUAGUGGAGGAGGUUAAACUCGGUGGGCCAGUACAGUACAUAUGGAUGUAUCCCAUUGAGAGGUACUUGGCCCAUCUAAAAACACAUGUAGCUAAUAAAGCCCAACAUGAAGGGUCAAUUGCAGAAGGCUACCUUUUAGAGGAGACCAUUAGGUUUUGUUCAAGAUAUCUUGAAGGUGUUAAGACCGUCUUUAACAAACCUAAACGAAUUGAUGAUGAUAGUCCCAAUUCUGGAAAAUACUUGUGUAAUUCUGGCGGUCGAGUAAUUGGGAAAGAAGUCAAUUUCCGUCUAGAUGACAAAAGCUUAAAACAAGCUCAUCGCUAUGUUUUACUGCAUCAUUCUGAUGAAAUUCAAGAUCUUCUCGAAGAAUUUUUAAAUCUAAAGCGACAAAUGAAUACACAUAACCCAAUCUCUGAAAGUGAUGAAAGUGAUUGGAUCAUCAACGAGUUUGGAGAGUGGUUGCGAAGUCAGGUACACUCAAUAGAUGAAUCCACCGGAGAUGGGAAACUUUGAAAAAUUCUGGCAGGGGGAUUGAAUUGUUAUGG